rnacentral:rRNA from 1 species
CCAAGGCGGACGAUGGGUAGCCGAUUUAAGAGGAUGAUCGGCCACAUUGGAACUGAAACACGGUCCAAACUCCUACGGGAGGCAGCAGUGGGGAAUAUUGCGCAAUGGGCGAAAGCCUGACGCAGCCACGCCGCGUGAGGGAUGAAGGUCUUCGGAUCGUAAACCUCUGUCAGAAGGGAAAAAUGUCCAGUGCCCCAAUCAACACUGUAUUGAUGGUACCUUCAGAGGAAGCACCGGCUAACUCCGUGCCAGCAGCCGCGGUAAUACGGAGGGUGCAAGCGUUAAUCGGAAUUACUGGGCGUAAAGCGCGCGUAGGUUGUUUUGUAAGUCAGAGGUGUAAUCCCACGGCUUAACCGUGGAACUGCCUUUGAUACUGCAUAGCUUGGA